rnacentral:rRNA from 1 species
CAACUUUCAGCAACGGAUCUCUUGGCUCUCGCAUCGAUGAAGAACGCAGCGAAAUGCGAUAAGUAAUGUGAAUUGCAGAAUUCAGUGAAUCAUCGAAUCUUUGAACCGCACCUUGCGCUCCUUGGUAUUCCGAGGAGCAUGCCUGUUUGAGUGUCAUUA